rnacentral:rRNA from 1 species
GUUCUUGUACGAUCACUGAAGUUAAGCAACAUCGAGCCUGGUCAGUACCUAGAUGGGUGACCUCUUGGGAAUACCAGGUGAUGUAAG